AUACGUAGGGAGCGAGCGUUGUCCGGAAUUACUGGGUGUAAAGGGUGCGUAGGCGGGACUGCAAGUCAGAUGUGAAAUGCCGGGGCUUAACCCCGGAGCUGCAUUUGAAACUGUGGCUCUUGAGUGAAGUAGAGGCAAGCGGAAUUCCUGGUGUAGCGGUGAAAUGCGUAGAUAUCAGGAGGAACACCGGUGGCGAAGGCGGCUUGCUGGGCUUUUACUGACGCUGAGGCUCGAAAGCGUGGGUAGCAAACAGGAUUAGAUACCCUGGUAGUCCACGCUGUAAACGAUGAUUACUAGGUGUGGGGGGACUGACCCCUUCCGUGCCGCAGUUAACACAAUAAGUAAUCCACCUGUGGAGUACGGCCGCAAGGUUGAAACUCAAAGGAAUUGACGGGG
rnacentral:rRNA from 1 species